GUGUGGAGUCCUUAGGAUUUAUAGAUAUAAAAUCAUGCAAGAAUAUGUAGAUAUAAAAUCAUCUGCAAAGAGGGACAAUUUGACUUUCUUUUUCUUUUUCUUUUUUUUUGAGACAGAGUCUUGCUCCAUCGCCAGGUACCAGACUGGAGUUCAGUGGCACGAUCUUGGCUCACUGCAGCCUCUGCCUCCCAGGAGAAUUGCCUGAACCCAGGAGGCGGAGGUUGCGGUGAGCCGAGAUUGCGCCAUUGCACUCCAGCCUGGGUAACAAGAGCGAAACUCCGUCUAAAAAAAAAAAGAAGCCAGAAUAUGAGAUUUCUAAGAAACCUGGUUUUCACAUGUUGGCAAUUGAAUGAAAACACCCACCAUCAGGGGUGGGGGAGGAAAGGGAUGAGAGAAGCAGGAAGAAAUAUAUAAAAUAGAAUGAGAUAAAAAUAAACAGGCUAAGAAAAAAUUGUAAAAAAAAAAAUAAUGUGACUUCAAAGUUUAAGUAAUUAUUUGGAUAAAGUAAAGUACAUUAUUGUUAUAACAGAAAAUCUGAACACUGACUGGAAAUUGUUCUGAAAAUUUUUCCAGGAAUGUAUAAUACAAAGACAGGUGAAUGAUGUGAUCAUAGAAAAGAUGACGGAUUUGGAGAAUAAAGAUAAUAGGUGUCUGACUUUGGUUUCUGUGUCUUGAUCAUGGUCUCUAAUUUUGAAACAAGUGUGACAAAAAAGAUAAUUGAAAAGUAAUAAUAAUCAAAGGCCCACUGAUACAGGUAUUACCAGAAUGGAUCAACCAUAUUCAAGGCACAGUUGAUAGAUAUAUAUUUACAUCUAGAUGAAAGCAUAGACUACAUAAAAGAAAAAGUUCUAGAGGCAACUAGAUGGGAGAGGAAGGGGAAGAGGAGAAAAAAACAUGCUAUAAUGGUGAUAAAAUAAGGUCACCCAUAUUUCUCCUCUAAAAAACUAAGCACGGAAAUAAAUUCAAGAUAAAAAUGUGCAAAUUUUAAAAAUAUGCUACAAGUCUAUUAUACUUAAUCAAAUAUGUUCAUUCAGAUGACAGAAAAAAAUGUUUGUACAAGGAUAUAGAAAUUCUACUCUGUAUUUUACUUGGGAAAAAAACUUACUGAAGAUGUAUUUUUGAUGUGAUGAAUUACAAAUAAUGUCAUUAAUGGUUUUUAAAUAGUAACUAUUUUACUUAUUUAAAAUGUCUUCUCAUGCCCUCCAAAAAAGUAAGAAAAUAAAAUUAUUAGUUUUAUUACAUGAUUGCUUUGUGCCAAAUCUGUAUUUGCACUUCACCUACAGAAUCUCUAAUGCUUACAACCCUGAAAAUCAAGAUUAAUAUCUCGAUUUAAUAUGAACAUCAAGAACGGAAAAGUCAUCAAUUAGCAAACAGUAUUUAUACCAGCUAAAAACUGAGAUGAUACAAUUAUUGUUGUAAUUUAAAUUCUAAAAGAUUAUUAAUGCUAAAAAUUGUUGCUCAAAGGAGAGGAUGGGAAAUGUAACCAGGAAUAGUGGUUUAAAAUAAAGUCCACAUUAUAUUAAAUAUGAACUUGACAUCGAAAGCCCUGGAUUAUUCUCCAUCUAUUUGGUACUGGACAAGAAAGCAACAGCAGCAGAUGAGGGUAAGAGGGAACACAAGGAAGUGCCAUAUGUGAGCUUAAAUUGGGAGCCUUAUGCAAGGAGUCCUGAUUGGCUAGCUGGCCUCUGAACAGCCCAACCCAUUGGCUGUUACAAGCAGCUGCCCCAUAAGAGAGGACUGAAGCCCUGGGAAGAGUUCUGGUGACUAGACUGGUUGGUGGGUGUUGGGUAACUGAGAGUGGAGGUAGAUGGAUGGACAGGGAAUGGCAGAACUCAGAUUGCAAAAUUAUAGGUCUUGAGGUGCACACCUCCUAUGCACAUCUAGAACAUUUUUAGGAGCAUGAAGCAAAACCUAAACUUUUGCUCUGUUUCCUUUUCUUCUCCAAAGCAAUAUUACCACUCAAUUACCACUUAUGAAGCCAGAGCACAAUAGUGGGUAAAAAACCACACUACAAAUUAGCAACUUACACUGGAAGACCAACUAACAAAAUGCACAGAACAGAUUUUCAAAAUAGCGUAUUAUUCUCAGAGAGAUAGGAGGAGAUAUCAGAAACGUAAUGAAAUAGCAAGCAGUUAUAAAGAGAAUCCAGUUGGA
ensembl:lncRNA